AUCACCUUUUUAAGGGCAAUCCAGAGAGGUUGCAAAGAGGUGCACAACAAAGGCCCAAAAAGUAUUCGGCAGGUCUUUGUAUGCCUCUUUGCGUAAAAAAGCAAAGAGGUUUUUUUAUA
rfam:Bacillus subtilis subsp. subtilis str. 168 complete genome.